rnacentral:rRNA from 1 species
GAUUAACGCUGGCGGCAUGCCUAAUACAUGCAAGUCGAACGGGGUAGUUUACUACCUAGUGGCGAACGGGUGAGUAACACGUAUCUAACCUACCAUUUAGUGGGGAAUAACUGUUGGAAACGACAGCUAAUACCGCAUAUGUUAUUAAUAUGAUUUAUUUAAUAAUGAAAGGAGCUUUCAAGCUUCGCUAAUUGAUGGGGAUGCGGCGCAUUAGCUAGUUGGUAAGGUAAUGGCUUACCAAGGCAAUGAUGCGUAGCCGAUCUGAGAGGAUGAACGGCCACAUUGGGACUAGACACGGCCCAAACUUCUACGGAAGGCAGCAGUAGGGAAUUUUUCACAAUGGGCGAAAGCCUGAUGGAGCAAUGCCGCGUGACUGAUGAAGGUCUUCGGAUUGUA